UCGAGAAUCUUUCGCAAUGCCCGAAAGGGUGACGAAGCGACGCCGCGUGCGGGAGGAAGGCCUUCGGGUUGUAAACCGCUGUCGGGAGUUAAGAAAUGCAAGGAUGUUAAUAGCGUUCUUGCUUGACUAAGGCUCCGGAGGAAGCCACGGCUAACUCUGUGCCAGCAGCCGCGGUAAUACAGAGGCGGCAAGCGUUGUUCGGAAUUAUUGGGCGUAAAGGGCGCGUAGGCGGCAUGGCAAGUCACUUGUGAAAUCUCCGGGCUUAACUCGGAACGGCCAAGUGAUACUGCUGAGCUAGAGUGCAGAAGGGGCAAUCGGAAUUCUUGGUGUAGCGGUGAAAUGCGUAGAUAUCAAGAGGAACACCUGAGGUGAAGACGGGUUGCUGGGCUGACACUGACGCUGAGGCGCGAAAGCUAGGGGAGCAAACGGGAUUAGAUACCCUCGUAGUCCCUGAGCGGGCUGGCAAGGCGCAU
rnacentral:rRNA from 1 species